rnacentral:rRNA from 1 species
UACGUAGGUGGCAAGCGUUGUCCGGAUUUACUGGGCGUAAAGAGCGCGCAGGCGGUCGUUCAAGUCGCGUGUGAAAGCCCCCGGCUCAACUGGGGAGGGUCACGCGAUACUGAUCGACUCGAAGGCAGGAGAGGGAAGUGGAAUUCCCGGUGUAGUGGUGAAAUGCGUAGAUAUCGGGGAGGAACACCAGUGGCGAAGGCGGGUUGCUGGGCUGAUACUGACGCUGAGGCGCGAAAGCCAGGGGAGCGAACGGG